rnacentral:rRNA from 1 species
GAUGAACGCUGGCGGCGUGCCUAAUACAUGCAAGUCGAGCGAACAGAUGAGGAGCUUGCUCCUCUGACGUUAGCGGCGGACGGGUGAGUAACACGUGGAUAACCUACCUAUAAGACUGGGAUAACUUCGGGAAACCGGAGCUAAUACCGGAUAAUAUAUUGAACCGCAUGGUUCAAUAGUGAAAGACGGUUUUGCUGUCUCUUAUAGAUGGAUCCGCGCCGCAUUAGCUAGUUGUUAAGGUAACGGCUUACCAAGGCGACGAUGCGUAGCCGACCUGAGAGAGUGAUCGGCCACACUGGAACUGAGACGCGGUCCAGACUCCUACGGGAGGCAGCAGUAGGGAAUCUUCCGCAAUGGGCGAAAGCUUGACGGAGCAACGCCGCGUGAGUGAUGAAGGUCUUCGGAUCGUAAAACUCUGUUAUUAGGGAAGAACAAAUGUGUAAGUAACUAUGCACGUCUUGACGGUACCUAAUCAGAAAGCCACGGCUAACUACGUG